CAGGAUUAGAUACCCUGGUAGUCCACGCUGUAAACGAUGUCGAUUUGGAGGUUGUGCCCUUGAGGCGUGGCUUCCGGAGCUAACGCGUUAAAUCGACCGCCUGGGGAGUACGGCCGCAAGGUUAAAACUCAAAUGAAUUGACGGGGGCCCGCACAAGCGGUGGAGCAUGUGGUUUAAUUCGAUGCAACGCGAAGAACCUUACCUGGUCUUGACAUCCACAGAACUUUCCAGAGAUGGAUUGGUGCCUUCGGGAACUGUGAGACAGGUGCUGCAUGGCUGUCGUCAGCUCGUGUUGUGAAAUGUUGGGUUAAGUCCCGCAACGAGCGCAACCCUUAUCCUUUGUUGCCAGCGGUUAGGCCGGGAACUCAAAGGAGACUGCCAGUGAUAAACUGGAGGAAGGUGGGGAUGACGUCAAGUCAUCAUGGCCCUUACGACCAGGGCUACACACGUGCUACAAUGGCAUAUACAAAGAGAAGCGACCUCGCGAGAGCAAGCGGACCUCAUAAAGUAUGUCGUAGUCCGGAUUGGAGUCUGCAACUCGACUCCAUGAAGUCGGAAUCGCUAGUAAUCGUAGAUCAGAAUGCUACGGUGAAUACGUUCCCGGGCCUUG
rnacentral:rRNA from 1 species